GGAGAGAGGGAGUGAGAUUAGGGGAAAACAGAGGGAGAGGAGGAGUGAGAUUAUGGGAAACAGAGGGAGAGAGGGAGUGAGAUUAGGGGAAAACAGAGGGAGUGAGAUUAAGGGAAAACAGAGGGAGAGAGGGAGUGAGAUUAGGGGAAAACAGAGGGAGAGAGGGAGUGAGAUUAGGGAAAACAGAGGGAGAGAGGGAGUGAUAUUAGGGGAAAACAGAGGGAGAGAGGGAGUGAGAUUAGGGGAAAACAGAGGGAGAGAGGGAGUGAGAUUAGGGAAAACAGAGGGAGAGAGGGAGUGAUAUUAGGGGAAAACAGAGGGAGAGAGGGAGUGAGAUUAGGGGAAAACAGAGGGAGAGAGAUUAGGGGAAAACAGAGGGAGUGAUAUUAGGGGAAAACAGAGGGAGAGAGGGAGUGAGAUUAGGGGAAAACAGAGGGAG
ensembl:lncRNA